rnacentral:rRNA from 1 species
GGGGCAUCAUUUGGUUUGCUUGCAAACCAAAGCUGGCGACCGGCGCACGGGUGAGUAACACGUAUCCACCUGCCUCAUACUCGGGGAUAGCCUUUCGAAAGAAAGAUUAAUAUCCGAUAGCAUAUAUUUCCCGCAUGGGUUUUAUAUUAAAGAAAUUCGGUAUGAGAUGGGGAUGCGUUCCAUUAGUUUGUUGGGGGGGUAACGGCCCACCAAGACUACGAUGGAUGGGGGUUCUGAGAGGAAGGUCCCCCACAUUGGAACUGAGACACGGUCCAAACUCCUACGGGAGGCAGCAGUGAGGAAUAUUGGUCAAUGGACGCGAGUCUGAACCAGCCAAGUAGCGUGAAGGAUGACUGCCCUAUGGGUCGUAAACUUCUUUUAUAUUAGAAUAAAGUGCAGUAUGUAUACUGUUUUGUAUGUAUAAUAUGAAUAAGGAUCGGCUAACUCCGUGCCAGCAGCCGCGGUAAUACGGAGGAUCCGAGCGUUAUCCGGAUUUAUUGGGUUUAAGGGAGCGUAGGCGGAUUGUUAAGUCAGUUGUGAAAGUUUGCGGCUCAACCGUAAAAUUGCAGUUGAUACUGGCAGUCUUGAGUGCAGUAGAGGUGGGCGGAGUUCGUGGUGUAGCGGUGAAAUGCUUAGAUAUCACGAAGAACUCCGAUUGCGAAGGCAGCUCACUGGAGUGUAACUGACGCUGAUGCUCGAAAGUGUGGGUAUCAAACAGGAUUAGAUACCCUGGUAGUCCACACAGUAAACGAUGAAUACUCGCUGUUUGCGAUAUACAGUAAGCGGCCAAGCGAAAGCAUUAAGUAUUCCACCUGGGGAGUACGCCGGCAACGGUGAAACUCAAAGGAAUUGACGGGGGCCCGCACAAGCGGAGGAACAUGUGGUUUAAUUCGAUGAUACGCGAGGAACCUUACCCGGG